rnacentral:lncRNA from 1 species
AAAAUAAGUUUUUUUUUUUAAUUUUCAGUAGAGAACCCAUCUAAUUCAUCUACACCCUCAUCCUCCUCAUCACCUCCAACAUCAUCAGCCCUUGUAUAAGCUCCACUCUUAUCUCCCCUCUCAUACCUAACAAAAUCAGCCGUUAUAUAAGCUCCAUUCUCAUCUCCAACAUCAUCUCCCUUAUCAUCUCCCACAUCAUGAUCAACCUCUAUGAGCUCCACCUGUAGCUAUAUCUUCAUCUUCAAUAUCUUUUUUCUCAACUACACUCUUGUCUCCAACACCAUCUUCUUCCUCAGCUACACCGUUACUUCUAACAUCAUCUUUAACCUCAACUGCACCUCAACUACACCCUCAACUCCAACAUCAACUUUAUCCUUCUUCCCACCAUCAACACCAUUAUCAUUAUCAUUACUAUUAUCAUUAUCAUUACUACCACCACCAAUAGCAUCAAUAGUUCCAUCACGUUGAAUAUUAUAAUUAAAAG